UCGUGGGACGCUGCAGCACUAGACUGACCGUCCUCCCAACCCUUCUCCAGAGCUACCCUCGGGCCUGUCGCCCGGAGCCAUCGCUGGGAUUGUCAUCGGGUCCCUGGCGGGGGCGGCGCUGGUCGGGGGCCUGCUCUACUUCCUGCUCUGCAGAAAUGGAAGGCCAGGAUGUCGGGGACAAGAAACCCACAAUGG